GGUGCAGGCUGUUAGUACUUGGAUGGGAGACCGCCUGGGAAUACCAGGUGCUGUAAGCCUUUUC
rnacentral:rRNA from 1 species